UACGUAGGGGGCAAGCGUUGUCCGGAAUCAUUGGGCGUAAAGGGCGCGUAGGCGGCUUUGUGCGUCGCACGUGAAAGCCCCUGGCUUAACCAGGGAGGGUCGUGUGAAACGGCGAAGCUGGAGGCAGAGAGAGGCUGGUGGAAUUCCCGGAGUAGUGGUGAAAUGCGUAGAUAUCGGGAGGAACACCGGUGGCGAAGGCGGCCAGCUGGCUCUGACCUGACGCUGAGGCGCGAAGGCGUGGGGAGCGAACGGG
rnacentral:rRNA from 1 species